GUGGAGAGCACAUGGAAAGACCGAAUGACAAAUUCAUUGGUCUCAUGAAUGGAUUAUUCGUUUUCAUUUUUUAUAAUUAUUUAAUUUUUACAAGUGUGAGUAAUUAGAUGCAACAUUGUCCUAAGAUUUGCAGAUUUAAUUUAUAAUAAUGUUUACCAGGCGUCAUUGACUGACAUUGUAUAUUUCGACAUAAAAUUAGAUGCACGAGUGUUUUUAAUUUAAUUUUUUUUUAUAUAUAUUACUUUGAUCUCAUAUCUUAUACUAUUGAAAUUGAGUAUUGACAGAUCGUAAAGUGCCUAUGGGUAAGCCUAACAAAUGGUAUUUUGCGUUGUAACAGAUCAUGCAGGUUAGUAACGUGUCUUUAAUGAUUAUGUGUUGUGGGGCAGGUUUUAUCUAAUGAACUCCCGAAACUUCCGAAUUAGAAGUAAAUUUGCCUUAAGAGGGUAUACAUCGGUAAUUGUGUAUCUAGAUCUUUCAUAGCACAUAUACAGAAAAUAUUCCAUGAAAGGAUAUGAACGUAAAAGGGACGUACUCUUUGGGGCGAAGGACCCAGGUUCAUAACCGGAAGUUCAACUUUCGAUACAAAUAAACAAAAAUCUUGGAAAUCUUGAACAGAGACCAUACCCGGAGUUAAGAAGCAGUAGCCAAAAGAAAUCAUUGCUAAAUGUUAGCUUGCUGGUGGAUUUAAGCAAAUAUUAACAUCUGUAUAUAUCCGGCUGUACAUUUUGCGUGUACCUACACAUUUGUUUACUAAAAAUUGUCAAGAGUCAUUCAUCACAGUGACAUGUACAAAUGUAUACAUUUUAUAGUUACUACUACUCUCUAGACUAGACUAGGUCGAUAUGCACAAGUUGGGUAGAUCAAGUAGAGACCUUGCUCGGCCACGAACACGGCCAAGGAUUGUAACUGGACCAGAGACUGGACAACAAGGCCACACCAGUUUUUUAAAAAUGGGUUACCAGACUGGACUGGAUUCACGACUCAUCACGCCACUAACUCAACUGCUUUGGUCACAUACAUUUAUACAUUGGAUCGUCAUCGACGUUAUUUAUGCUACCCCUAGAGCUUCGCAUUGGUAUGAUUCAGUUGAAAAUUUUUUCAGGUAAUCGUCAGAUUUUUUAGUUAAAAGCAGUAUAUUACUUUUAAGUUAAACCAACUCAUGUACAAAAUGUACAUGUGAUUCCAACAUAUAACAUUAACAAACUUAUUUAUAUAGAUUAAGACAACUUUUUCUUUUCUUAUGGGUAGGAUUGAAAAGAUUUGUGUAACGUUUAUAUCUCAGUUUCUAAACUUAAAAUUGCUGAAUGUGUUACGUUUACAAAUUUUUAUGGCCAUACAAUGAUGGGAUGCCACAUCAUGUGCUUUAAAUAAAAACUUUUGUAAAUAUGAGGUUACAUUCGAUAUAAUUGUUAUAUAAUAUAUUACAUUGAAACUUUUAAAUGUUGUUUGGUAUUUAUCACUUUUUGAAUGGAGGACGCUAUCGAUUUAUAUAACAUUAUAAGAUUAAUAUUUAUCUUGUUUAAUAACCUGAUAAAUAAAAAAAAUAAAAAAAUUUUUGUAAUGUUAAAUUCUCUCUUAUAAUAAGUAAUUGGAUAACCAUAUUUGGUAUAUGCGUACCUUGCAGGUCCUCAUGUCUGUCAGACAGUUUUCACUUGACCUCGACCUCAUUUCAUGGAUCGUCCUGAAUAUGCAUGAAAUAUUUGCCACUGGACAUUAAGAAACUAACAAUCAAUCAAUCAUCAUUUCAUGGAUCAGUGAACAAGGUUAAGUUUUGGUGUUCAAGUCCAUAUCUCAGAUACUAUAAGCAAUAGGUCUAGUAUAUUCAGUGUAUGGAAGGACUGUAAGGUGUACAUGUCCAACUGGCAGGUGUCAUCUGACCUUGACCUCAUUUUCUUGGUUCAGUGGUUAUAGUUAAGUUUUUGUUUUUUGGUCUGUUUUUAUCAUACUAUAUGCAAUAAGUCUACUAUAAUUGGUGUAUGGAAUGAUUGUAAGGUGUACAUGUCUAGCUGACAGGUGUCAUCUGACCUUGACCUCAUUUUCUUGGUUCAGUGGUUAUAGUUAAGUUUUUGUGUUUUGGUCUGUUUUACAUAUACUAUAUGCAAUAGGUCUACUAUAAUUGGUGUAUGGAAUGAUUGCAAGGUGUACGUGUCUAGCUGACAGGUGUCAUCUGACCUUGACCUUAUUUUUAAUGGUUCAGUGGUCAAAGUUAAGUUUUUUAGUUUUGGUCUAUUUUUCUAAUACCUUGUGCAUUAGGUCAACUAUAUUUGGUGUAUGGACAUAUUUAAUAAUCCUCGUGUCGUUUACGCUGGUUUUAUUUGACUUAGACCUCAUUUUCACGGUCCAUUGCUAAGUUUUAAGUGUUUGUGUGUUUUGGUUUGUUUUUCUUUAUUUAUAAGCAAUAAGUCAACUAUAUUUGUUGUAUUGAAGAUUUGUUAGCUGUACAUGUCUGCCUGGCAUGGUUCAUCUGACCUUGACAUCAUUUUCAUGGUUGAUUGAUCAAUA